rnacentral:snoRNA from 1 species
GCAUAAUGAUGAAUUUAUUCUUAGCUUUUUUUCUGGCAUCUCUAAUGUUAGGGCAGGCGUUUAAGUACUCCGUUCGAUGAAUACAACUAUUGACAUAUUCUGAAA